CCUACGGGGGCAGCAGUGGGGAAUAUUGGACAAUGGGGGCAACCCUGAUCCAGCCAUGCCGCGUGUGUGAAGAAGGCUCUCGGGUUGUAAAGCACUUUCAGUGAGGAAGAACGCCUGGUGGUUAAUACCCAUCAGGAAAGACAUCACUCACAGAAGAAGCACCGGCUAACUCCGUGCCAGCAGCCGCGGUAAUACGGAGGGUGCGAGCGUUAAUCGGAAUUACUGGGCGUAAAGCGCGCGUAGGUGGCUUGAUAAGCCGGUUGUGAAAGCCCCGGGCUCAACCUGGGAACGGCAUCCGGAACUGUCAAGCUAGAGUGCAGGAGAGGAAGGUAGAAUUCCCGGUGUAGCGGUGAAAUGCGUAGAGAUCGGGAGGAAUACCAGUGGCGAAGGCGGCCUUCUGGACUGACACUGACACUGAGGUGCGAAAGCGUGGGUAGCAAACAGGAUUAGAUACCCUAGUAGUC
rnacentral:rRNA from 1 species